GAUGAACGCUAGCGGCAGGCCUAAUACAUGCAAGUCGAGGGGUAGAAGAGGCUUGCUUCUUUGAGACCGGCGCACGGGUGCGUAACGCGUAUGCAACCUACCUUCAUCUGGGGGAUAGCCCGGAGAAAUCCGGAUUAAUACCGCAUCAAAUCACAGGAUGGCAUUAUCCCAUGAUCAAACAUUUAUGGGAUGGAGAUGGGCAUGGGUGUCAUUAGCUAGUUGGCGGGGUAACGGCCCACCAAGGCGACGAUGACUAGGGGAUCUGAGAGGAUGGCCCCCCACACUGGUACUGAGACACGGACCAGACUCCUACGGGAGGCAGCAGUAAGGAAUAUUGGUCAAUGGAGGCAACUCUGAACCAGCCAUGCCGCGUGCAGAAAGACUGCCCUAUGGGUUGUAAACUGCUUUUAUUCGGGAAUAAACCUUAUUACGUGUAAUAAGCUGAAUGUACCGAAGGAAUAAGGAUCGGCUAACUCCGUGCCAGCCGCCGCCGUAA
rnacentral:rRNA from 1 species